rnacentral:rRNA from 1 species
UACGUAGGGUGCAAGCGUUAAUCGGAAUUACUGGGCGUAAAGCGUGCGUAGGUGGUUCGUUAAGUCAGAUGUGAAAGCCCCGGGCUCAACCUGGGAAUUGCAUUUGAUACUGGCGGGCUAGAGUGCGGUAGAGGAGAGUGGAAUUCCCGGUGUAGCAGUGAAAUGCGUAGAGAUCGGGAGGAACAUCAGUUGCGAAGGCGGCUCUCUGGACCAGCACUGACACUGAGGCACGAAAGCGUGGGGAGCAAACAGG